AAAAUGGUUUUACUUGAAACCACAAAGCACUAAAUGGGAGUUAACGU
rfam:Sarcophilus harrisii ctg7180002416395, whole genome shotgun sequence.